GGCAGUGAUGUUAAGAAUAGCAAAACAGCAGCAUUUAGAGCGCCAGCGAGCUGCAGUGACAGGUAGAACCUGCCAAAGAACGUUCUUAUAGGCUAAAUAAAGCAAGAGAGAAAGGUUGGCAGGAAAUGGCUGAUCGUCUCAAUGCCAGCAACUCAAGUGAAGGAAAAAGAACAUGGCAGCUGGUGAAAAUAAAAUAUAAAAUAUAGUUCAGAAUGCGACCAAAAAGAAGACUGAGGUUGCUGGCACUGGGGGAAGGCCACCACCAGCCAGCUUCUUAAAAGAUUCUGCUAUCAAGAUAUGCUUUAUGGAUCCACCAGACAUCAUGUUGCCUGUGAGUAUGAGACCUUUUACAUCAGUCAUGUAAG